AUUGAACGCUGGCGGCAGGCCUAACACAUGCAAGUCGAGCGAGCGGCGGACGGGUGAGUAAUGUAUGGGGACUGCCCGAUAGAGGGGGAUAACUACUGGAAACGGUAGCUACUCCCGAAUACUAUCGGAUAACCCAUAUGGGAUUAGCUAGUUGGUGAGGGAAUGGCUCACCAAGGCGACGAUCCCUAGCUGGUCUGAGAGGAUGAUCAGCCACACUGGGACUGAGACACGGCCCAGACUCCGACGGAGGCAUCAGUGGGGAAUAUUGCACAAUGGGCGCAAGCCUGAUGCAGCCAUGCCGCGGGUAUGAAGAAGGCCCUAGGGUUUUAAAGUACUUUCAGUCGGGAGGCGUUACCGACAGAAGAAGCACCGGCUAACUCCGUGCCAGCCGCCGCGGUAAUUC
rnacentral:rRNA from 1 species